UCUCUCACAGAUGAUGCAGAGUGUGGUAAUUGCCAGGGAAAUCUCAUGCCCGGCUGUGUCACAGCUUCAUGACUUGGGAGGAGGUGUAAAUAAUACCCGGAAAUAGGACUACGGACACAAAUCCAAACAGAGAUGCUCCCUUGGCUUUUGAAUGGAAACAGACAUGACACCAUCUGUCAAAAUAACAUUGGAAGCACUUUUGCUUGCACAGAAGACAUGAAUAAGGUCUUGGGAGAAAUCCUUCAGGCAAUCCCAGGCUCCGAGCAAUCAGCAGACCUCUUCAUGUGACUUGGAAAACUGUGAGUUCUAACUGCUCUGCUCUCUUUGAAGACCAUGACU